UACGCCUCAUGGGAGGACUAUGUGGCUGCACGCCACACCACCACAUACAGACUGCCCAACCGUGUUGAUGGCACUGGCUUUGUGGUCUAUGAUGGCGCGGUCUUCUACAAUAAGGAGCGCACUCGCAACAUUGUCAAAUAUGACCUGCGGACCGCAUCAAGAGCGGUGAGACGGUCAUAAACACAGCCAACUACCACGACACCUCACCUUACCGCUGGGGAGGCAAAACCGACAUUGACCUGGCAGUGGAUGAGAACGGACUGUGGGUCAUCUAUGCAACUGAGGGAACAACGGGCGCUUGGUGGUGAGCCAGCUCAACCCUACACAUUGCGUUUCGAGGGCACGUGGGAAACGGGCUACGACAAGCGCUCGGCCUCCAAUGCCUUCAUGGUGUGUGGCGUCCUCUACGUGCUGCGCUCUGUCUAUGUGGACGACGAUAGCGAGGCGGCAGGCAACCGCGUGGACUAUGCCUUCAACACCAAUGCAAACCGAGAGGAGCCAGUCAGCCUGGCCUUCCCCAACCCCUACCAGUUCGUAUCUUCAGUUGACUACAACCCUCGGGACAACCAGCUCUAUGUGUGGAACAACUAUUUUGUGGUGCGCUAUAGCCUGGAGUUCGGACCCCCAGACCCAGUGCUGGUGAGGAUGGGCCCAGCCACUUCCCCUCCUCUCAGUACCACUACCACAGCUCGGCCCACGCCCCUCACCAGCACAGCCUCGCCUGCAGCCACCACACCACUCCGCCGGGCGCCCCUCACCACACACCAGUGGGUGCCAUCAACCAGCUGGGACCUGACCUGCCUCCAGCCACAGCCCCAGCACCCAGUACCCGGCGGCCUCCGGCCCCUAAUCUACAUGUAUCCCCUGAGCUCUUCUGUGAACCCCGAGAGGUCCGCCGGGUCCAGUGGCCAGCUACCCAACAGGGUAUGCUGGUGGAGAGACCUUGCCCCAAGGGAACACGAGGAAUUGCCUCAUUCCAGUGCCUCCCAGCUCUGGGGCUCUGGAACCCUCGGGGCCCUGACCUCAGUAACUGCACUUCCCCCUGGGUCAACCAAGUAGCACAGAAGAUCAAGAGUGGAGAGAAUGCGGCUAACAUUGCCAGUGAGCUGGCCCGCCACACACGGGGCUCCAUCUAUGCUGGGGACGUGUCCUCCUCGGUGAAGCUGAUGGAGCAGCUGCUGGACAUCCUGGAUGCCCAGCUCCAGGCUCUCCGGCCUAUUGAACGCGAGUCGGCCGGCAAGAACUACAAUAAGAUGCACAAGCGAGAGAGAACCUGCAAGGACUAUAUCAAGGCUGUGGUGGAGACAGUGGACAACUUGCUCCGGCCAGAGGCACUUGAGUCAUGGAAAGACAUGAAUGCCACCGAACAGGUCCAUACAGCCACCAUGCUUCUAGAUGUCCUGGAGGAGGGCGCCUUCCUGCUGGCUGACAAUGUCAGAGAACCUGCUCGCUUCUUGGCUGCCAAACAAAACGUGGUCCUGGAGGUAACUGUCCUGAACACGGAGGGUCAAGUGCAGGAGUUGGUGUUCCCCCAGGAGUAUCCCAGCGAGAACUCCAUUCAGCUGUCUGCCAACACCAUCAAACAGAACAGUCGCAAUGGUGUUGUGAAGGUUGUCUUCAUUCUCUACAACAACCUGGGCCUCUUCUUGUCCACGGAAAAUGCCACAGUGAAGCUGGCAGGUGAGGCAGGGUCCAGUGGCCCUGGAGGUGCCUCCCUGGUGGUCAACUCACAGGUCAUUGCAGCAUCUAUCAACAAGGAGUCCAGCCGUGUCUUCCUCAUGGACCCUGUCAUCUUUACUGUGGCCCACUUGGAGGCCAAGAACCACUUCAAUGCAAACUGCUCCUUCUGGAACUACUCAGAGCGCUCCAUGCUGGGCUACUGGUCAACCCAGGGCUGCCGACUGGUGGAGUCCAAUAAGACCCAUACCACAUGUGCCUGCAGCCACCUCACCAACUUCGCAGUACUCAUGGCUCACCGAGAGAUCUAUCAAGGCCGUAUUAAUGAGCUGCUACUGUCAGUCAUCACCUGGGUUGGCAUUGUCAUCUCUCUGGUCUGUCUGGCUAUCUGCAUCUCCACCUUCUGCUUCCUGCGGGGCCUGCAGACUGACCGGAACACCAUCCACAAGAACCUGUGCAUCAACCUCUUCCUUGCAGAGCUGCUCUUCCUGGUUGGAAUAGACAAAACUCAGUAUGAGGUCGCCUGCCCCAUCUUUGCGGGCCUGCUGCACUACUUCUUCCUGGCCGCCUUCUCCUGGCUGUGCCUGGAGGGCGUGCACCUCUACCUGCUGCUGGUGGAGGUGUUCGAGAGCGAGUACUCGCGCACCAAGUACUAUUACCUGGGCGGCUACUGCUUCCCAGCCCUGGUGGUAGGCAUUGCAGCAGCCAUUGACUACCGAAGCUACGGCACUGAAAAGGCCUGCUGGCUGAGGGUGGAUAACUACUUCAUCUGGAGCUUCAUUGGGCCCGUCUCGUUUGUCAUUGUGGUGAACCUGGUGUUCCUCAUGGUGACCCUGCACAAGAUGAUCCGAAGCUCAUCAGUGCUCAAGCCCGACUCCAGUCGCCUUGACAACAUCAAGUCCUGGGCGCUGGGUGCCAUUGCGCUGCUCUUCCUGCUGGGCCUCACCUGGGCUUUCGGCCUCCUCUUCAUCAACAAGGAGUCGGUGGUCAUGGCGUAUCUCUUUACUACCUUCAACGCCUUCCAGGGGGUCUUCAUCUUUGUCUUUCACUGCGCCUUACAGAAAAAGGUGCACAAGGAGUACAGCAAGUGCCUGCGCCACUCCUACUGCUGCAUCCGCUCCCCCCCUGGGGGCACUCACGGCUCCCUUAAGACCUCAGCCAUGCGAAGUAACACCCGAUACUACACAGGGACCCAGAGCCGGAUCCGGAGGAUGUGGAAUGACACCGUGAGGAAGCAGACAGAGUCUUCCUUUAUGGCAGGUGACAUCAACAGCACCCCCACCCUGAACCGAGGUACCAUGGGGAACCACCUACUGACCAACCCCGUGCUCCAGCCCCGUGGGGGCACUAGCCCAUACAAUACACUCAGUGCAGAGUCCGUGGGCUUCAAUCCUUCCUCGCCCCCAGUCUUCAACUCCCCAGGAAGCUACAGGGAACCCAAGCACCCCUUGGGAGGCCGGGAAGCCUGUGGCAUGGACACCCUGCCCCUUAACGGCAACUUCAACAACAGCUACUCCUUGCGAAGUGGUGAUUUCCCUCCAGGAGAUGGGGGUCCUGAGCCGCCCCGAGGCCGGAACCUGGCGGAUGCUGCCGCCUUUGAGAAGAUGAUCAUCUCAGAGCUGGUGCACAACAACCUGCGGGGGGCCAGUGGGGGAGCCAAAGGGCCUCCACCAGAGCCUCCUGUGCCCCCUGUGCCAGGGGUCAGUGAGGACGAGGCCGGUGGGCCGGGGGGUGCUGACCGGGCAGAGAUUGAACUUCUCUACAAGGCCCUGGAGGAGCCACUGCUGCUGCCCCGGGCCCAGUCGGUGCUGUACCAGAGUGAUCUGGAUGAGUCGGAAAGCUGUACGGCAGAGGAUGGGGCCACCAGCCGGCCCCUCUCCUCCCCUCCCGGCCGGGACUCCCUCUAUGCCAGCGGGGCCAACCUGCGGGACUCGCCCUCCUACCCGGACAGCAGCCCCGAAGGGCCUAAUGAGGCCCUGCCCCCGCCCCCACCUGCUCCCCCUGGGCCCCCAGAAAUCUACUACACCUCUCGCCCGCCGGCCCUGGUGGCUCGGAAUCCCCUACAGGGCUACUACCAGGUUCGGCGGCCCAGCCAUGAGGGCUACCUGGCAGCCCCGAGCCUCGAGGGGCCAGGGCCCGAUGGGGAUGGGCAAAUGCAGUUGGUCACUAGUCUCUGAGGGGCCUCAUGGACCAGAGGCCAGAGGCCUGGCCAGGGAGGGAAUCCAGGAGGGGCUCUGGUGGGAGCAGAGACUGACGGAGGCAGUGGCUGGUGGGCCACUCUCUCCAGGUGCCCCUCUGCCUGUGGGCCCCACGGUCCCCUUCGGGACUAUGACCUGGGCCCCAGGUGCCAGGGUUAGUAGACAGGGUUUCCACCAGCCACAAGCCCCAGCCUCUCUAGGGGAGUGCAUUGAGGAGAAGCCCCCAGGGCCCUGGGAGUGAAAGAGAAGCUGGUAGGUGUGACCAACUUCCGAAGCUCCCUGCCUGUGGAGGGGGAAAGCAAGGGACAAGGCUUCCCUAAGUAUAUAGGGGGUUGCCGCUUUUGAGGUGGCCAAAGCCUUGCAGGAUCCACCCUAUCUGCUGCUCACUCUUCUCCAUCCACCAGAAAGGAACAGUGGGACAGAUGGAUAGGAUCCUACAGUCCUUGCUUCCUGGAGACUGGGCCUUGCACCACGAGAAAGCCCAGGCCCAGGGGAUGGGGCUGUGGAAGCUGGUGGUUAAUGGUGGAACUUUCUCUGAAGCUCCUUUCUCCCUUGCUAUUGGUCCCUGUCUCCCAAGCAAGCCUGUCCCUCAACCCCCAGAGUGCACCCAAUGACCCCCUCCCUUGGGGUGACUCCUGAUGAAGCACAACUCCCGCAGGGCCCCUAACCCACUGGAGUGGCCAUAUUUGGGCAGUUCCCAGUCCUGUGGGCUGGGCUAUCUGGGGAGCAGAUUUGGGGUCUGGGGCUCCCUGAGGAGUGGGUCCUGGGUUUGGAUCUUUCCCUAGGGGGUCCUCUUACCCCUCUCUCUUCCUCCCCUAUUGCUGUAAAUAUUUCAACAAAAUGGAAAAGGAAAAAAAAAA